rnacentral:tRNA from 1 species
GCCAUCGUGGCUCAGUUGGUAGAGCAGACGAUUCGUAAUCGUCAGGUCGUGGGUUCGAUCCCCACCGAUGGCU